GACGAACGCUGGCGGCGUGCUUAGCACAUGCAAGUCGAACGGAAAGGCCCUGCUUUUGUGGGGUGCUCGAGUGGCGAACGGGUGAGUAACACGUGAGUAACCUGCCCUUGACUUUGGGAUAACUUCAGGAAACUGGGGCUAAUACCGGAUAGGAGCUCCUGCUGCAUGGUGGGGGUUGGAAAGUUUCGGCGGUUGGGGAUGGACUCGCGGCUUAUCAGCUUGUUGGUGGGGUAGUGGCUUACCAAGGCUUUGACGGGUAGCCGGCCUGAGAGGGUGACCGGCCACAUUGGGACUGAGAUACGGCCCAGACUCCUACGGGAGGCAGCAGUGGGGAAUAUUGCACAAUGGGCGGAAGCCUGAUGCAGCAACGCCGCGUGCGGGAUGACGGCCUUCGGGUUGUAAACCGCUUUCGCCUGUGGCGAAGCGUGAGUGACGGUAAUGGGUAAAGAAGCACCGGCUAACUACGUG
rnacentral:rRNA from 1 species